AGAAUAGAUGUUUAGUCCAAAUAAGACCACUAAUUUCGGCUUAGUAGAUUAUGGUGAAAAUCCAUAAACAUCUU
rnacentral:tRNA from 1 species